AGCGAACGUUAGCGGCGGGCCUAACACAUGCAAGUCGAACGCGAAAGGUCUUCGGACUGAGUAGAGUGGCGCACGGGUGAGUAACACGUAGGUAAUCUACCCUUUGGCGGGGGAUAACGUUCCGAAAGGAGCGCUAAUACCGCAUAAGACCACGGAGUCUCCGGACGCUGUGGGAAAAGGUGGCCUCUUCUUGAAAGCUACCACCGAAGGAUGAACCUGCGUCCCAUCAGCUAGUUGGUAAGGUAAUGGCUUACCAAGGCGAAGACGGGCAGCUGGUUUGAGAGAAUGAUCAGCCACACUGGCACUGGAACACGGGCCAGACUCCUACGGGAGGCAGCAGUGAGGAAUAUUGGGCAAUGGGCGAAAGCCUGACCCAGCCACGCCGCGUGAGUGAUGAAGGCCCUCGGGUCGUAAAGCUCUGUGGAGAGGGACGAAAACCCUGGUUUCAAAUAGGCUCCAGGCUUGACGGUACCUCUUUAGCAAGCACCGGCUAACUCUGUGCCAGCAGCCGACGG
rnacentral:rRNA from 1 species